rnacentral:rRNA from 1 species
CCUACGGGAGGCAGCAGUGAGGAAUAUUGGUCAAUGGCCGGAAGGCUGAACCAGCUAUGCCGCGUGAAGGUCAGUGCCCUAUGGGCGUUAAACUUCUUUUGUGCGGGAGCAAUAAUGGUCACGUGUGGCCAGACGAGAGUACCGUACGAAAAAGCAUCGGCUAACCACGUGCCAGCAGCCGCGGUAAUCCGGGGGAUGCAAGCGUUAUCCGGAAUUAUUGGGUUUAAAGGGUGCGGAGGCUGUGAGGUAAGUCAGCGGUGAAAUUCCCCCGCUCAAAGGGGUGAAGUGCCAUUGAUACUGCCUAGCUGGAGAGCGGAUGCCGUAGGAGGAAUGUGUGGUGUAGCGGUGAAAUGCAUAGAUAUCACACAGAACACCGAUUGCGAAGGCAUCUCACGAAUCCGCGAUUGACGCUGAUGCACGAAAGCGUGGGUAUCAAACAGGAUUAGAUACCCCGGUAGUC